rnacentral:rRNA from 1 species
CUUAAAGGAAGUUGACGGGGCCGCACAAGCGGCGGAGCAUGCGGAUUAAUUCGAUGCAACGCGAAGAACCUUACCAAGGCUUGACAUACACCGGUAACGCCCAGAGAUGGGUGCCCCUUUGUGGUCGGUGGACAGGUGGUGCAUGGUUGUCGUCAGCUCGUGUCGUGAGAUGUUGGGUUAAGUCCCGCAACGAGCGCAACCCUCGUCCUAUGUUGCCAGCGGGUCAUGCCGGGGACUCAUGGGAGACUGCCGGUGAUAAACCGGAGGAAGGCGGGGAUGACGUCAAGUCCUCAUGGCCCUUACAUCCCGGGCUACACACGUGCUACAAUGGCAGGUACAGAGGGCUGCGAAGCCGCGAGGUGGAGCGAAUCCCAGAAAACCUGUCUCAGUCCGGAUUGAAGUCUGCAACUCGACUUCAUGAAGGCGGAAUCGCUAGUAACCGCGAAUCAGCAGGUCGCGGUGAAUACGUUCCCGGGCCUU